ACCAAGGCGACGAUCGGUAGCCGGACUGAGAGGUUGAACGGCCACAUUGGGACUGAGACACGGCCCAGACUCCUACGGGAGGCAGCAGUGGGGAAUAUUGCACAAUGGGGGAAACCCUGAUGCAGCGACGCCGCGUGGAGGAAGAAGGUCUUCGGAUUGUAAACUCCUGUUGUUGGGGAAGAUAAUGACGGUACCCAACAAGGAAGUGACGGCUAACUACGUGCCAGCAGCCGCGGUAAAACGUAGGUCACAAGCGUUGUCCGGAAUUACUGGGUGUAAAGGGAGCGCAGGCGGGAAGACAAGUUGGAAGUGAAAUCUAUGGGCUCAACCCAUAAACUGCUUUCAAAACUGUUUUUCUUGAGUAGUGCAGAGGUAGGCGGAAUUCCCGGUGUAGCGGCGGAAUGCGUAGAUAUCGGGAGGAACACCAGUGGCGAAGGCGGCCUACUGGGCACCAACUGACGCUGAGGCUCGAAAGUGUGGGUAGCAAACAGGAUUAGAUACCCUGGUAGUCCACACCGUAAACGAUGAUUACUAGGUGUUGGAGGAUUGACCCCUUCAGUGCCGCAGUUAACACAAUAAAUAAUCCACCUGGGGAGUACGACCGCAAGGUUGAAACUCAAAGGAAUUGACGGGGGCCCGCACAAGCGGUGGAGUAUGUGGUUUAAUUCGACGCAACGCGAAGAACCUUACCAAGUCUUGACAUCCCUUGACGAUGCUGGAAACAGUGUUUCUCUUCGGAGCAAGGAGACAGGUGGUGCAUGGUUGUCGUCAGCUCGUGUCGUGAGAUGUUGGGUUAAGUCCCGCAACGAGCGCAACCCUUAUGGUCAGUUACUACGCAAGAGGACUCUGGCCAGACUGCCGUUGACAAAACGGAGGAAGGUGGGGAUGACGUCAAAUCAUCAUGCCCUUCAUGACUUGGGCUACACACGUACUACAAUGGCGUUAAACAAAGAGAAGCAAGACCGCGAGGUGGAGCAAAACUCAGAAACAACGUCCCAGUUCGGACUGCAGGCUGCAACUCGCCUGCACGAAGUCGGAAUUGCUAGUAAUCGUGGAUCAGCAUGCCACGGUGAAUACGUUCCCGGGCCUUGUACACACCGCCCGUCACACCAUGAGAGCCGGGGGGACCCGAAGUCGGUAGUCUAACCGCAAGGAGGACGCCGCCGAAGGUAAAACUGGUGAUUGGGGUGAAGUCGUAACAAGGUAGCCGUAGGAGAACCUGCGGCUG
rnacentral:rRNA from 1 species